GGUCCGGGGCCUGGCCCCGGGGAGCAGCCGUUGGCUCGAGACGCCGCCUGUUCGCCGUGGCUUUCUCUGUGUGACUCUGAGGCUCGGAAAAGGCCAAAGGCGCUUUAGAAUUCAGUAAAAGGCCGCGACCCGGCAGCCGCCCGGCCGAGCGCAGACUUGGACCUCUCAUCCCCACUCCCGGGACUUGCAAAAGGUUUCACAGCGAGGAAGCUGACAGAGGCCAAAACUGGAGCGAAAGUGCAAGAGCUUCCAGCUGUUCUUUGGAACGUGAGGUGUUAUAGAGAAGGAUACUUGUGGAAAAGAUACCCAUGGAAAGGAUCAUAAAUCAUAUGAAGUUGAAAAACAAAAAAGCUUGUCUCCUUCGAGCCGGAGUCGAACCAGCGACCUAAGGAUGACUUCCAAAGAGAAAGUGUAUUGUGGAUGAAACUUUGAGUGGAGAUAAAUCUGGACAACAUCUCAGGAGUGGGAGAUAUUGGGUACCAGAGCAGAUUGCUUAGAAGUAAGAAGAAAAGAAACCCUCCCCAGGCUGGAGAACAACUGGAAAGUCCAUAUCUAAAAAUAAACAAAGCAAACCAAUAAACACCCUCUAAUGUUACAUUUCCUCAGUGAGGUGAGUGGUAGAUAUUUUUGUUGAAAUGAUGAUUGGCAAAUCAAUUUAAUUCCUAAGAUAUUGAGGAUCCUACCCUUUAAAGGACUUCAAAGGGAGGAUACACUGUCUUUACUCUUCAUUUAAAUUCUGUCAGUUAUAGAAUUAUAAAACCAAAUCUCUAAACCCAUCUUUCACCUUGAGGCAGUUGCUAAACCUGGUAAACUUGAGCCUUAGUUUUCACCAUCUUGUGGGGAUGAAGACUGGGCCACCACAUGUCAUAAAGACUAUUGUGUAUAUCUAUAUGAAAAAUACCUCCCAGAGCUGUGCAGGACAAUUGCAUAUAUAGCCCUGGUUGGAAGAGAAGUCAAAACUCUGCAUGCCAAGAAGAGAAGCCUUAAGGAAACCAAUCCUGUGACACCUUGAUCUUUGACUUCUAACUUCCAGAAUUCUAAGAGAGUAAAUUUCUGGUUUUCAAGUCACCCAGUUUGUAGUGCUUUGUUACAGCAGCCCUGAAAUACUAAUAACAGACAACAAAUUAACUUUACUUAGUGAUCAGACAUGGAACAGUGAACCUAACAAAUGUAAAAUGUACUGUUUUGAAGCAAUGUGGAACAUUUGUAAAAUUGAUUAAGUUCUA